rnacentral:rRNA from 1 species
GAUGAACGCUGGCGGCGUGCCUAAUACAUGCAAGUCGAGCGAACAGACGAGGAGCUUGCUCCUCUGACGUUAGCGGCGGACGGGUGAGUAACACGUGGAUAACCUACCUAUAAGACUGGGAUAACUUCGGGAAACCGGAGCUAAUACCGGAUAAUAUAUUGAACCGCAUGGUUCAAUAGUGAAAGACGGUUUUGCUGUCACUUAUAGAUGGAUCCGCGCCGCAUUAGCUAGUUGGUAAGGUAACGGCUUACCAAGGCAACGAUGCGUAGCCGACCUGAGAGGGGGAGCGGCCACACUGGAACUGAGACCCGGUCCAGCCUCCUAGGGGGGGAAGAAGUAGGGAAUCUUCCGCAAUGGCGAAAGCCUGACGGAGCAACGCCGCGUGAGUGAUGAAGGUCUUCGGAUCGUAAAACUUUGUUAUUAGGGAAGAACAAAUGUGUAAGUAACUCUGCACGUCUUGACGGUACCUAAUCAGAAAGCCACGGCUAACUACGUG